rnacentral:rRNA from 1 species
UUAAGUUAGAAAGGGCGCACGGUGGAUGCCUUGACACUAGGAGUCGAUGAAGGACGGGACUAACGCCGAUAUGCUUCGGGGAGCUGUAAGUAAGCUUUGAUCCGAAGAUUUCCGAAUGGGGAAACCCACCAUACGUAAUGGUAUGGUAUCCUUAUCUGAAUACAUAGGGUAAGGAAGACAGACCCAGGGAACUGAAACAUCUAAGUACCUGGAGGAAGAGAAAGCAAAUGCGAUUUCCUGAGUAGCGGCGAGCGAAACGGAACAUAGCCCAAACCAAGAGGCUUGCCUCUUGGGGUUGUAGGACAUUCUAUACGGAGUUACAAAGGAACGAGGUAGACGAAGCGACCUGGAAAGGUCCGUCGUAGAGGGUAACAACCCCGUAGUCGAAACUUCGUUCUCUCUUGAAUGUAUCCUGAGUACGGCGGAACACGUGAAAUUCCGUCGGAAUCUGGGAGGACCAUCUCCCAAGGCUAAAUACUCCCUAGUGAUCGAUAGUGAACCAGUACCGUGAGGGAAAGGUGAAAAGCACCCCGGAAGGGGAGUGAAAGAGAUCCUGAAACCGUGUGCCUACAAAUAGUCAGAGCCCGUUAACGGGUGAUGGCGUGCCUUUUGUAGAAUGAACCGGCGAGUUACGAUCCCGUGCGAGGUUAAGCUGAAGAGGCGGAGCCGCAGCGAAAGCGAGUCUGAAUAGGGCGUUUAGUACGUGGUCGUAGACCCGAAACCAGGUGAUCUACCCAUGUCCAGGGUGAAGUUCAGGUAACACUGAAUGGAGGCCCGAACCCACGCACGUUGAAAAGUGCGGGGAUGAGGUGUGGGUAGCGGAGAAAUUCCAAUCGAACCUGGAGAUAGCUGGUUCUCCCCGAAAUAGCUUUAGGGCUAGCCUUAAGUGUAAGAGUCUUGGAGGUAGAGCACUGAUUGGACUAGGGGUCCUCAUCGGAUUACCGAAUUCAGUCAAACUCCGAAUGCCAAUGACUUAUCCUUAGGAGUCAGACUGCGAGUGAUAAGAUCCGUAGUCAAAAGGGAAACAGCCCAGACCGCCAGCUAAGGUCCCAAAGUGUGUAUUAAGUGGAAAAGGAUGUGGAGUUGCUUAGACAACUAGGAUGUUGGCUUAGAAGCAGCCACCAUUUAAAGAGUGCGUAAUAGCUCACUAGUCGAGUGACUCUGCGCCGAAAAUGUACCGGGGCUAAAUACACCACCGAAGCUGCGGAUUGAUACCGAAUGGUAUCAGUGGUAGGGGAGCGUUCUAAGGACAGUGAAGUCAGACCGUAAGGACUGGUGGAGUGCUUAGAAGUGAGAAUGCCGGUAUGAGUAGCGAAAGACGGGUGAGAAUCCCGUCCACCGAAUGCCUAAGGUUUCCUGAGGAAGGCUCGUCCGCUCAGGGUUAGUCAGGACCUAAGCCGAGGCCGACAGGCGUAGGCGAUGGACAACAGGUUGAUAUUCCUGUACCACCUCUUUAUCGUUUGAGCAAUGGAGGGACGCAGAAGGAUAGAAGAAGCGUGCGAUUGGUUGUGCACGUCCAAGCAGUUAGGCUGAUAAGUAGGCAAAUCCGCUUAUCAUAAAGGCUGAGCUGUGAUGGGGAAGCUCCUUAUGGAGCGAAGUCUUUGAUUCCCCGCUGCCAAGAAAAGCUUCUAGCGAGAUAAAAGGUGCCUGUACCGCAAACCGACACAGGUAGGCGAGGAGAGAAUCCUAAGGUGUGCGAGAGAACUCUGGUUAAGGAACUCGGCAAAAUGACCCCGUAACUUCGGGAGAAGGGGUGCUUUCUUAACGGAAAGCCGCAGUGAAUAGGCCCAAGCGACUGUUUAGCAAAAACACAGCUCUCUGCGAAGCCGUAAGGCGAAGUAUAGGGGGUGACACCUGCCCGGUGCUGGAAGGUUAAGAGGAGUGCUUAGCGUAAGCGAAGGUAUGAAUUGAAGCCCCAGUAAACGGCGGCCGUAACUAUAACGGUCCUAAGGUAGCGAAAUUCCUUGUCGGGUAAGUUCCGACCCGCACGAAAGGUGUAACGAUUUGGGCACUGUCUCAACCAGAGACUCGGUGAAAUUAUAGUACCUGUGAAGAUGCAGGUUACCCGCGACAGGACGGAAAGACCCCGUGGAGCUUUACUGUAGCCUGAUAUUGAAUUUUGGUACAGUUUGUACAGGAUAGGCGGGAGCCAUUGAAACCGGAGCGCUAGCUUCGGUGGAGGCGCUGGUGGGAUACCGCCCUGACUGUAUUGAAAUUCUAACCUACGGGUCUUAUCGACCCGGGAGACAGUGUCAGGUGGGCAGUUUGACUGGGGCGGUCGCCUCCUAAAGUGUAACGGAGGCGCCCAAAGGUUCCCUCAGAAUGGUUGGAAAUCAUUCGUAGAGUGCAAAGGCAUAAGGGAGCUUGACUGCGAGACCUACAAGUCGAGCAGGGACGAAAGUCGGGCUUAGUGAUCCGGUGGUUCCGCAUGGAAGGGCCAUCGCUCAACGGAUAAAAGCUACCCCGGGGAUAACAGGCUUAUCUCCCCCAAGAGUCCACAUCGACGGGGAGGUUUGGCACCUCGAUGUCGGCUCAUCGCAUCCUGGGGCUGUAGUCGGUCCCAAGGGUUGGGCUGUUCGCCCAUUAAAGCGGUACGCGAGCUGGGUUCAGAACGUCGUGAGACAGUUCGGUCCCUAUCCGUCGUGGGCGUAGGAAAUUUGAGAGGAGCUGUCCUUAGUACGAGAGGACCGGGAUGGACGCACCGCUGGUGUACCAGUUGUUCUGCCAAGGGCAUAGCUGGGUAGCUAUGUGCGGAAGGGAUAAGUGCUGAAAGCAUCUAAGCAUGAAGCCCCCCUCAAGAUGAGAUUUCCCAUAGCGUAAGCUAGUAAGAUCCCUGAAAGAUGAUCAGGUUGAUAGGUUCGAGGUGGAAGCAUGGUGACAUGUGGAGCUGACGAAUACUAAUAGAUCGAGGACUUAACCAU